rnacentral:rRNA from 1 species
GACGAACGCUGGCGGCGUGCUUAACACAUGCAAGUCGAACGGAAAGGCCCUGCUUGCAGGGUACUCGAGUGGCGAACGGGUGAGUAACACGUGGGUGAUCUGCCCUGCACUUCGGGAUAAGCCUGGGAAACUGGGUCUAAUACCGGAUAGGAGCCAUUUUUAGUGUGAUGGUCGGAAAGUUUUUUCGGUGUAGGAUGAGCUCGCGGCCUAUCAGCUUGUUGGUGGGGUAAUGGCCUACCAAGGCGGCGACGGGUAGCCGGCCUGAGAGGGUGGACGGCCACAUUGGGACUGAGAUACGGCCCAGACUCCUACGGGAGGCAGCAGUGGGGAAUAUUGCACAAUGGGCGCAAGCCUGAUGCAGCGACGCCGCGUGGGGGAUGACGGCCUUCGGGUUGUAAACUCCUUUCGCUAGGGACGAAGCUUUUUGUGACGGUACCUAGAUAAGAAGCACCGGCUAACUACGU